CCUACGGGUGGCUGCAGUGGGGAAUAUUGGACAAUGGGGGGAACCCUGAUCCAGCCAUGCCGCGUGUGUGAAGAAGGCCCUCGGGUUGUAAAGCACUUUCAGUGAGGAAGAACGCCUGGUGGUUAAUACCCAUCAGGAAAGACAUCACUCACAGAAGAAGCACCGGAUAACUCCGUGCCAGCAGCCGCGGUAAUACGGAGGGUGCGAGCGUUAAUCGGAAUUACUGGGCGUAAAGCGCGCGUAGGUGGCUUGAUAAGCCGGUUGUGAAAGCUCCGGGCUCAACCUGGGAACGGCAUCCGGAACUGUCAAGCUAGAGUGCAGGAGAGGAAGGUAGAAUUCCCGGUGUAGCGGUGAAAUGCGUAGAGAUCGGGAGGAAUACCAGUGGCGAAGGCGGCCUUCUGGACUGACACUGACACUGAGGUUCGAAAGCGUGGGUAGCAAACAGGAUUAGAUACCCUUGUAGUC
rnacentral:rRNA from 1 species